rnacentral:rRNA from 1 species
GAUGAACGCUGGCGGCGUGCCUAAUACAUGCAAGUCGAGCGAACAGACGAGGAGCUUGCUCCUCUGACGUUAGCGGCGGACGGGUGAGUAACACGUGGAUAACCUACCUAUAAGACUGGGAUAACUUCGGGAAACCGGAGCUAAUACCGGAUAAUAUAUUGAACCGCAUGGUUCAAUAGUGAAAGACGGUUUUGCUGUCACUUAUAGAUGGAUCCGCCCCGCAUUAGCUAGUUGGUAAGGUAACGGCUUACCAAGGCAACGAUGCGUAGCCGACCUGAGAGGGUGAUCGGCCACACUGGAACUGAGACACGGUCCAGGCUCCUACGGGAGGCAGCAGUAGGGAAUCUUCCGCAAUGGGCGAAAGCUUGACGGAGCAACGCCGCGUGAGUGAUGAAGGUCUUCGGAUCGUAAAACUCUGUUAUUAGGGAAGAACAAAUGUGUAAGUAACUAUGCACGUCUUGACGGUACCUAAUCAGAAAGCCACGGCUAACUACGUG